UAAUUUGUAGUAAGUAUAUAUAUUCGUUAUCACAGACUGUCUUUAGAAAGUUUCCACAAGUGGAGCCGCUGGCGUCGAGUGGCAGCAACAGGAUGUGGCCUCUCGUCUUUCUGCUCUGCUUCAUUCAAGGUUUUGGUGUUCAAGGGGCCAGAUGGGAGAUUAUAAUUCAUACAUCUGACGACGAACGCGCGGGAACAAACUCCGACAUCUAUCUUACUCUCCAUGGAUCUCGCGGAUCUUCUGCAGAAAUAAGAUUAUACAAUGAUUACAACACCUUUGAGAGAAAUCAGAUCGACAUAUUCGUUGUUACAACGGACGACAUUGGUGAAGUGUGCUCAGUGACCAUUAGGUCUGCCGGUAAUCGCGCUGCUCCUUACUGGCAUCUCCGAGAGAUUGUGGUUCAGGGAAGUACACACAAGAGAUUUUGGUGCGACUGCUGGUUAUCAAAAAAAGAAGGAUAUCAGAGGGAACUCCAACCUGAUGUCCCAUGCACCGAGAAGUAGAAAUAAGUAAAACGACCUGGGUGCAGACUUUGAAUCUGGCACUGACCAACCAACAUAAAGAGUUUAUUCACCUGAUGGAACACCUUGCUUAUCCCUUAACUGGAAGACAUUUAAAGAUAUAAAAAUGAACAUUCUUGAAAACUGAGACAAAAAUGUGUACUAUACAAAGACACUAUAUUCAAUGAUCUUUAAAUUUAAUACUGCUUGAAUGUCAUUUUGAAAACAAUACAUUUUCUGAUUAUUAUCUAUUACAGUCAGAAUUCUCAUUUAAACUACUUGAAGAAAACAUUUCUCAGAUAGUUAUUUUACAUUUGAUUAUUCUGUCACAAGCUGUAAUGAAAAGUUAGGAAGUACAUGUACACUAGCCAACCCUAAAGAGUAGUCAACUGUAAACGCUUCUGCAAAAGUCUACCUUAUAACCCAAGGUCUUUUACCCAACAAGCAAUUCUAAAGCGAACAAUUCUACAAAAAGAAAAAGAGUGGAAAAUAAUGUCUAAUUUGUAAAAAAAAACACGUGGUCUAAGAUUUUGAACUUUAUCGUUGUAAAUGUCAUCGAAAACGCAAGGUGAAAGUAAAAAAAGUUGAAUCACAA